rnacentral:rRNA from 1 species
GAUGAACGCUGGCGGCGUGCCUAAUACAUGCAAGUCGAGCGAACAGACGAGGAGCUUGCUCCUCUGACGUUAGCGGCGGACGGGUGAGUAACACGUGGAUAACCUACCUAUAAGACUGGGAUAACUUCGGGAAACCGGAGCUAAUACCGGAUAAUAUAUUGAACCGCAUGGUUCAAUAGAGAAAGACGGUUUUGCUGUCACUUAUAGAUGGAUCCGCGCCGCAUUAGCUAGUUGGUAAGGUAAAGGCUUACCAAGGCAACGAUGCGUAGCCGACCUGAGGGGGUGAUCGGCCACACUGGAACUGAGACACGGUCCAGACUCCUACGGGAGGCAGCAGUAGGGAAUCUUCCGCAAUGGGCGAAAACCUGACGGAGCAACGCCGCGUGAGUGAUGAAGGUCUUCGGAUCGUAAAACUCUGUUAUUAGGGAAGAACAAAUGUGUAAGUAACUAUGCACGUCUUGACGGUACCUAAUCAGAAAGCCACGGCUAACUACGUG